rnacentral:rRNA from 1 species
GACGAACGCUGGCGGCGUGCUUAACACAUGCAAGUCGAACGGAAAGGCCCUGCUUGCAGGGUACUCGAGUGGCGAACGGGUGAGUAACACGUGGGUGAUCUGCCCUGCACUUCGGGAUAAGCCUGGGAAACUGGGUCUAAUACCGGAUAGGAGCCAUUUUUAGUGUGAUGGUUGGAAAGUUUUUUCGGUGUAGGAUGAGCUCGCGGCCUAUCAGCUUGUUGGUGGGGUAAUGGCCUACCAAGGCGGCGACGGGUAGCCGGCCUGAGAGGGUGGACGGCCACAUUGGGCCUGAGAUACGGCCCAGACUCCUACGGGAGGCAGCAGUGGGGAAUAUUGCACAAUGGGCGCAAGCCUGAUGCAGCGACGCCGCGUGGGGGAUGACGGCCUUCGGGUUGUAAACUCCUUUCGCUAGGGACGAAGCUUUUUGUGACGGUACCUAGAUAAGAAGCACCGGCUAACUACGU